rnacentral:rRNA from 1 species
GGGGGCAACCCUGACGGAGCAACGCCGCGUGAGUGAAGAAGGUUUUCGGAUCGUAAAGCUCUGUUGUAAGUCAAGAACGAGUGUGAGAGUGGAAAGUUCACACUGUGACGGUAGCUUACCAGAAAGGGACGGCUAACUACGUGCCAGCAGCCGCGGUAAUACGUAGGUCCCGAGCGUUGUCCGGAUUUAUUGGGCGUAAAGCGAGCGCAGGCGGUUUGAUAAGUCUGAAGUUAAAGGCUGUGGCUCAACCAUAGUUCGCUUUGGAAACUGUCAAACUUGAGUGCAGAAGGGGAGAGUGGAAUUCCAUGUGUAGCGGUGAAAUGCGUAGAUAUAUGGAGGAACACC